rnacentral:tRNA from 1 species
AAAAAUGAAAUCAUUAGAUGUUUCAUUUACAAUGAAAAUUUGUUAUUUAACCGUUUUUA